AAUGAACGUAACUAAUUUAAAUUGAACACAGACACGCUAAACAAAACUGAGCAUUUCAAGUGCUUUACAACAAGGUGCUUCAAUAUGUGAUUGGAACAUUAUGUACGUAUCAAAAAAUAUGCCCGAGUCAUUGACUAUAUUUUAUGCACAAACGAGCUUAGACCCACAGAUAUCGUAGUCAAAGACAAACGGACAUCGAAACCAGAAAAAC